rnacentral:rRNA from 1 species
CUAGUUGGUAGGGUAAAAGCCUACCAAGGCGACGAUGGAUAGCCGGCCUGAGAGGGUGAACGGCCACACUGGGACUGAGACACGGCCCAGACUCCUACGGGAGGCAGCAGCUAAGAAUCUUCCGCAAUGGGCGAAAGCCUGACGGAGCGACGCCGCGUGGACGAAGAAGGCCGAAAGGUUGUAAAGUCCUUUUCUUAGGGAAGAAUAAAGCGAAGAGUGGAAUGCUUCGCAGAUGACAUUAACUUUGGAAUAAGCCCCGGCCAAUUACGUGCCAGCAGCCGCGGUAAUACGUAUGGGGCGAGCGUUGUUCGGAAUUAUUGGGCGUAAAGGGCGUGUAGGCGGUUUUAUAAGCCUGGUGUGAAAUCCCACAGCUCAACUGUGGAUCCGCGCUGGGAACUGUAAGACUAGAGUUUAGGAGGGGAAGCUGGAAUUCCUGGUGUAGGGGUGAAAUCUGUAGAUAUCAGGAAGAACACCGAUGGCGAAGGCAAGCUUCUAGCUAUAGACUGACGCUGAGGCGCGAAAGCGUGGGGAGCGAACAGGAUUAGAUACCCUGGUAGUCCACGCUGUAAACGAUGUGCACUGGGUGUAGGAGACGUUGAGUUUUCUGUGCCGUAGCUAACGCGUUAAGUGCACCGCCUGGGGAGUAUGCUCGCAAGGGUGAAACUCAAAGGAAUUGACGGGGGCCCGCACAAGCGGUGGAGCAUGUGGUUUAAUUCGAUACGCGAGGAACCUUACCAGGGCUUGACAUGUACUUGAAGGCUUAAGAGAUUAGGUCGACCUUUAGGGGACAGGUACACAGGUGCUGCAUGGCUGUCGUCAGCUCGUGUCGUGAGAUCUUGGGUUAAGUCCCGCAACGAGCGCAACCCUUACUGUCUGUUACCAGCAGGUCUUCGGACGCUGGGGACUCAGAUAGAACUGCCGGUGACAAACCGGAGGAAGGUGGGGAUGACGUCAAGCCAUCAUGGCCCUUAUGUCCUGGGCUACACACGUGCUACAAUGGUCGGUACAAAGCGUUGCGAGACGGUGACGUCCUUAGCAAAUCGCAAAAAGCCGAUCUCAGUUCGGAUUGGAGUCUGAAACCCGACUCCAUGAAGUUGGAAUCGCUAGUAAUCGCGCAUCAGAAUGGCGCGGUGAAUAUGUUCCCGGGCCUUGUACACACCGCCCGUCACACCACCCGAGUUGGGGGUACCCGAAGUCGCUAGUCUAACUCCUCGGAGAGGACGGCGCCGAAGGUAUGCCUGGUAAGGGGGGUGAAGUCGUAACAAGGUA